rnacentral:rRNA from 1 species
GACGGAGGGUGCUAGCGUUGUUCGGAAUGACUGGGCGUAAAGGGCGCGUAGGCGGCCGCUUGCGUCGGAUGUGAAAGCCCGGGGCUCAACCCCGGAACGGCAUCCGAUACGGGGCGGCUCGAGACCGAGAGAGGUGAGUGGAAUACCCAGUGUAGAGGUGAAAUUCGUAGAUAUCUGGAGGAACACCGGUGGCGAAGGCGGCAUCCUGGACCGACACUGACGCUGAGGCGCGAAAGCCAGGGGAGCAAACGGG